AAAAUAAAUUAGAAAAUAGCGUUCUAACGCAAAAUACCCUUUCACUGUUCAUUGCCUCUCCCAAUCUCAUUCUCAAGCAACAAACCAAAGAACAGCGAAGGAAAAAGAAAAUCUCUUUCGCACCAACAAGGGGGCGGAGAGACUGUUCUUGAGGUGCUUCAAUGGCGGAGAAACCCCAACCGGUGCGCGUUUUGUACUGUCCGGUCUGCAGUCUACCGGCCGAGUAUUGUGAAUUUGGACCCGAUUUCGAGAAAUGCAAGCCCUGGUUGAUCCAAAAUGCUCCCGACCUCUAUCCUGAUCUUCUCAAAGAGGCCAAUGCGAAGGAAGCUGGUGAAGUUUCUAAUCAACUGCAGUCCACCAGUAUCUCAUCUGCUGCUGGCGAUGGAGCUGCUUCUUCAGGACCUAAGCAAGAGGAAGUGAAACGUCUUCCCGGUGGCAAGAUAAAGAAAAAAGAUAAGCAAGAAGUUAUUAUUGAGAAGGUUACACGAAAUAAGAGAAAGUGCAUUACAACUGUAAAAGGAUUAGACCUUUUUGGAGUUAAGCUAAGUGAUGCUUCAAAGAAACUUGGGAAAAAGUUUGCUACUGGUGCUUCUGUGGUUAAGGGGCCAACUGAGAAAGAGCAAAUUGAUGUUCAAGGUGACAUAGCCUAUGACAUCGUGGAUUUCAUUACGGAGACUUGGCCUGAUGUUCCAGAAACUGCAAUUUUCUUCAUCGAAGAUGGGAAAAAGGUUCCUGCUGCUUGACAUUGAAAUCGUGGCAAACAAAUAAUAUGGACUUAUGUGCAUCCUUUUCCCUACUUGUGCGAGUCCUUUUAAGAUUCCACAAGCAGGCGGACGGUGCGCUGAUGGAUGGUCGGUCUGCUUGUGGUUGGUACUAGAAGCUACAGAGUUGGCAUUGCAUUGGCACAACUUCAACCACAACCACAAGUCAGGUUAUUAUUAUUAUUAUCAUUAAUAUACUUGAUUAUUUUUAGAGUGUGUGUGUGACUUUUAAGUGCCCUCCUUUUCCCUUUGCCCUUUGCUUGCUAUACCUUUACCUUUUGGUACUUCCCUACCGAAAGUGUUUUGAAUUAGCGUAGUUUGUGUUUUGUUUGGACCUUAAGAAACCGGAUUAGGUCCCCAUUAAACUAAUGGGCCUCUAAAUUAAAUACCCUUAAUCAUCCUUAAUCCUUUCUUUAGGUAACUUCUUAAGUAGGUGGGAUUUGUUAAUUAAAAAAAAAGUUGAUGUAGGA